UGUUUGUUUGUUUGUUUAUUCUCAUUCAAACCUUGUUUGAUCUGCAAUUCACCGACGGCAUUGUCAACGGAUAGAAACGUGGGGCGCCAGGAGACGCAUUUUAAAACGGUCCACGCAAGCUUCGAUCGUGACGUUUCUCCACGUUACAAGAGUGCGUCACUGCCUCCGUGUGUCAAGGUCUCCUACAAAGUCCAGCAGAACCGCCACAGCACCGUUGUUGAGAAACACUGGUGGAGACUGCCAUUCACGAUGUC